AAGCGCCAGAGAUGACACUAUGUGUAAAGACGAUCAUAAUUCGAUAUGGUCAAAAUGCGUCGAUUAUCGUUUCAUUUAUCUGGUAAUGAUGUUUUCACUUCAUCAAAAUUUUAAACAUUAACAACUAGGCGAAUAACAAUAGUUGAAAUGUAAAUCAGAAUAAAAUCAAUUCAUUUGAAGAAAAUAAAUUCCAUUAUACUUUAUUUUGACCAUAUGAUCAACACUUGUACAUAGUGUCAUUUACUUUGUGUUCUUCACUCUCGCGUUGUGUUUUGAUCGUUCGAAACUCAUUGCCAGAACGAAUGCAAAUUUCAUUUGGGAAGGAUCGGUGCCGGAAGAUGCAGUGAAAAUUAUAAAAUGUUUAUAGAAAAGUGGUUAAGUAAAUCGUGAAAGAUGUCAACGCAUGCGUAAAUGCAGUUUGUUUUGUCACUUGAUCUACGGCAAUUUCAUUACCAAAGCACCUGAUAACCGAUCAAAGAAGGUGAAUCGGGCAUACAGAGUCGCCGUUUAACUUCAAAUAUCUUCGUGAUCGGAAAACGCAUCAAACAGCAAGUGUUUUUCUUCCAUCAGCACGCGCCAUCGGUGGAGCAAGCAGCUAACGUUUCGUUCGUCUAGCACGCACCAUCAAGAAUUGAAAUAUUCCCGAAUAGCUCUGUGAAUAAAAAACUGCACACUUACUGUCCGAA